GACGCUGUGAAGUCAGGUGGAUGCCCCA
rnacentral:piRNA from 1 species